AAAAAAUGUAAGGGGUUCUGCAUUAUGGACUCACUCGGGUGACCGAAAGAUAGCAGAGAGGGCAAUCGUCCCAAAUAGGCAGAGCUUCAGUGUUACAUCUCAUCAUACACCUUGUGUGGAAAAGGUGUUUCCAGUGUUAGAAUAUGCAGGAAUUCAUGGAUAGUAGCAAGUGACAUGACUGGAAAACCCCUCAAGAACCUGGAAGAAGAAAUAUUGACAGAUUGGAGAUAAAGAGAUUGGAGAAAGGGGGAUGUGAAUGGAACUAUGGGAGUAGGCAGAAAGUGUGAAGGUCUUUGUAUCACUUAUUAAUGCCUAACCAGGAGCACCCACAACAGAAUAGACAUUAAACAACUGCAUAAACAAAAUGACUCAGCCAGUUGAUGUCAGUCAGCCUGUGUCAACAGCCACCCCAAUGCUGGCACAAAGGGCACUUGCACAGAAUAGCCUGAUGGCAGAGAUGAUAUGUGCAUGGCUCCAGCAGCACGGACUCCUCUCAUUAAGGCUGAUCUAGCUACUUUUGCUGCCCCAUGUCUAACUUGCCAGCAACAGAGACCAAAGUUGAGCCCCAGAAUCAGCACCAUUCCUCAAAGAGACCAGCUAGUCACUUGGUGGAAGAGAGACCAAGCAGAAUCCCAGAAGAGCUGAUCUCAAAGCUUAUUUUAUGAAGAAAAUUGACCUGAGUGACACAAAGGGUUGGAUUGUAGUAGAUGUCAUGUUUUGCUGCCUAGAUCUCCAUCCAGGGAUGCACCUUCAUUUCCUCAGCUUCUUCAUUUCCUCAGCUUCUUCAUGUCCUCAGCUUCUUCAUGUCCUCAGCUUAUGGGAGGGUUGGCAGCUGCCAUUCUCACCUGAGUACUUUUCUAGGACUUGCCCUUGUCUGAAGAGAGCUGUGUUGCCCAACAUGAUGCCUCCUCCAAGGUACAAUCCACACCCAGUGAUUAAUAAACAGGGGUUACGAAGGCAUGCCUGCUUGCCCCAGUUUGGGACAACUUUACCAGGCCAACCCAGCCUCAAGGCUCUCUGCAGGAACAGGUGAGGCCAUAGUUGUGACUACAUCACAGUUCAAUUUCUCCUCUGCCCAAGCCUCCUUCCUUCAUUCCUCCACAGAUGUUGAUCCUGAGACUCCUUUCCAGUAAACUUCCUCCAUGCAAUCUUCAUCGCAGAGUCUGUUUCCUGGGGAAACUAACCUGCAACUGAUACAAAUGCCUGUUCUGUGAGAUAAAACACUAAAAGUGCAAUGCGAGUGGUAUAAAUAUUCUGCUACAGGAAUACAAAGUCAAAUAUCUUUUUUGGCUUAGGUAGUCAGAGAAUGGAGAUAUUCUGAGUUGGACUUCUGAGAUAGUGGGAUUUGAUAGGUGAAGUGGAUAUGAGAUGGCAUAAGACUAACAUAGGCAGAAUUUUGCUAAAUGAAUUGGAGAUGAAACAUUGUAAGUGCAGGUGCACAAGUAGAAAAGUAAAAUCAGAGCUCAAGGAAGGGGAAGUGAUCCAGCUGGGGGGAAACAUGGGGCCUAUAUCGAGAUAUACCAGGAAAUAAAGCCAGGACAAAUGGCAGGGUAGGACCUGAUUGUUGAGGGUCUUAAAUGCUGGGGUCAAGAUUAUGGCCUUUACUUACAAGUUGGUUGGGCAUGAUUCUGGGAGUUUUAACAAAAGAUGUGGCAAACUCAAAGCUUCCUUUUCAUGGAAAGUAUGGAGAAGUGGAGGUUCAUAUGAUUAAAUCACUGUAAUUUCAGUGUGAACUUCCUAACAAUUUGAGCUAACCAUGAGAUAGGACAACUUAUCAAGCAAUGAGCUCUCCAUUAUCUAAACAGAAGCUAAAUUUCAAGUCCAUGUAGAGGAAGUCUUGUGUUGACUAGAAUAUAAGAUGUUUGGAGGGACUUUUCUUCUUUUUUACUGAUAUUUACUAACUUGGAUAUUUUGCUAAGUGCUUUGCAGGUAUUCUUAUUUAAUCCUCACAAGGCAGUAUGGUAGAUAAUCUAUUAUAUUGAAAAUAAUGGGCCCGGCACGGUGGCUCACGUCUGUAAUCCCAGCACUUUAGGAGGCCGAGGCGGGUGGAUCACCUGAGGUCGGGAGUUCAAGACUAGCCUGACCAACAUGGUGAAACCCUGUGUUUACUAAAAAUACAAAAAUAAGCUUGGUGUAGUAACUCACACCUGUAGUCCCAGCUAUUUGGGAGGCUAAAGCAUGAGAAUCACUUGAACCCCAGAGGUGGAAGUUACAGUGAGCCAAAAUCACACCAUUGGACUCCAGCCUGGGCAACAGAGUAUGACUAGGUCAAGAAAGAAAGAAAGAAAGACAGAGAGAGAGAAAGAGAGAAAGAGAGAGAGAGAGAGGGAGAGAGAGAGGAAGGAAGGAAGGAAGGAAGAAAGGAAGGAAGGAAAACAUGCCAAGUAGACAGUAUUAAACUAAAAAAAAAAAAAAAAAAAAUCCUAAUGUAUUAAAGAAGGAGAAAAGUCCAAAAAGUAGUCAACAAGCAGAGAAAGAAAGAAAAUAUAAAGGUAAAAAUGUAUAUUAUCCAAAUGAGGCCUCUUUCUUAAGAAGAAAAAAUUAAGGAAAUUCAAAAAAUAAGUUAGGAAAUAGUGAGUAAAAUUAUGAAGUUAAAAAUUCACCAAAAAUGUAUUGAUAUGUCCAAGUUCAGCUUGUAGUGAACAGACUCUUCUUAUGCGGAAUUUGAGCAAAGUGCUAACACAACAGAGUUAGGUAAUGGGAUGAGGGUCAGAUCACUCUAUUUUUGGAAACUGGUUUCAUGACUGCUUCCCCUUACUUAGUCAUAGACAGGCUAUAUAAAAAGCUGUUAGAGUGGAAAGAGGGAGAGGAUUUGUGAAUUUUUUUUUUCUAGCAAGUUGUUAUGGUUCUGUAAUAAACCACCCUCCCAAAGGGAUGAAGUUUCGGGGUGUACUCCCUUCACCUCAGCCUAGUAGGGGGACUUCCAGGAGAGAAUGAGAGAGUUUAAUGUUUCCUCAAUUUACAGACGCAAAGACUGGUGCCUGACUUCUCCUGAUAAAGCUAAACCUGCAUGUGGCUGGUCUCUAGUUGGCUAGAUAGUAGUUGUUAAAAUGGAAAGAAACACUUAAUGUUAGAUGCCGUCCAAUAGGACCACCUACAGGGAUGGAAGGUUCUCAGCAGCAAGAGCCCAGAGGUAGAAAUAAGACUCGUAGGGGUGAAGGAUGGAGUCACAAGUAAACACCUGGACAAGGAAGCAUCUGUCCUGGUCCAGAGGCUUCCCCAAUAAAGAUGUCUCACACAACUCUAAGAAGUUAGAACUUGAGAAAAAGACUAACGAGAAAAAGAGUAAGGUGUGUGUGUGUGUGGAAGAGGUGAGGCAGUUGUUUUCCUGUAAAUAAUGUUAAAUUAAACUAAAUUUGGUCUGAGGAUGCCUCGUAACUUGAGUGUCUACAUAACAAACUGCAACCUAACUUAGGAGUAUUUUUUUUUUUUUGUACUAACGAGGUGAGCCUCAGCCAAUCACAGCAGCCAAGCUACAGCCAAUCCCAUGUGGCCAACUGAUCAGCCCUUGCCCAGUAAGACAACUGCUCACCUGUAACUACUCAAGCUGCUUCUGGACCUCAUUUCCAUUUGCUGUUUGUAAACGCUGCCUGCCCACCUAGCUGAGCAGAAGUUUUUGAGGGUUACUUGAUUAGAAAAUUGUUCUUUGUUCAAUUAAACUUUGCUAAAUAUAA